CUCCCUCUCCAUCCCUCUCCUUCCUCCCCCUUCAGUUUUUGGAGCAAUUCCAAAUACUUAAGCCUUCCGGAAGUUUGGGUUAGGGAUAAGCAAGGUCUGACUGUAUUUUUUCCCCCUUGAGAAAUAGAGAACAACUAUUCCAUGUUCAAUAUUGGAACAAGUGUUUUAGCAGCUUAAUGUCCCUUGGCUACAUAACAUUUAGUUUUGUUUACCGGAGGUUUUGUUUUGUUUUGUAUUUUGGUGUACAAAUCAACUUUAAUUCAGACAGACCAGAGCAUAAGCUGGCAUUAAAUUUGGGAAUGAAACGUCCUAUCACUUAAACCUCAUUGGGCUUCACCUUUCAUUCAAAAUAUAUGAAAGCUCUUCCAGCUCUUAACUGAUGACAGAAGAUAAUAAAUACGUAGUGGCCAUUAUGCUCCCUUUUCUUGAGCUUUCAGUGCUGGGAUCACUGGUGAAAACCACCAGGGAUAGCAGCGAUUUGGGAACUCAUACCUAAUCACCACGUGGGUGUCCUCUCCUCACUUCCUGCUUCUUUGGAAGCAAAUUAACAUGGGAAUAAUAGUUAGAAGCCCUCCCCCACCGCCACCACCCCCACCUCCCUCAGGACCCUGGGGUCCAUCUUUAAAGGCUGUGUAUGUAGCUGAGGACCCCAAGAAGAUUCCCUUAACACAGAACAGCUCUGCCUUCCAAAACCCUAAAGACAUUUGAUAAGGAAAAAUAACUAACAAUUGAUGUCUUUCUCAUAACCUUUGCUACCUUCUUAAAAACUGAAACAGUACAAGAAUUUGCAGCUUAAAAUGACCAGAAAAGUGGCAGAAAGCCAGCCUUCCGGUCAGAGACAGCUUAGAAAAGCUUAAUGAUUAACGAAUGGGUCACUGCCUUCAGGCUCUGACCUUUAGAACUAACCAAUUUUAGCCUUUCGGUUAGGUUCCUUCAAAUCCUUAUGCAUCAAAGGAAAACUACUCCCCCCAUGGCUCAGUAGCACCCAUCCAAAAGGCAUACUGAGCAGCCCACGUUGUUUGAAAUACUUUUACUGCCAUGAACUGGAACACAUCUUAGAAGAUUCCCCUUCAGAUGGAACUCAAUUCGGGACCUCUCAGUUUCUUUGAAGAUAUUCCUGCCUCUUGUUUUACAACACACUCUGCUUGGAGAGGCCAAUUCCUUAGUAACUGCAAAGGCAGAACUGAGUUGUCCAAUAAUCACAACUGAGCAGUAUCAGCGACGAUGGUUCAUGCAUCGAGAGCCAAGGAAAACCACUCGAGAGCCUUUGCCUUCUUGGUCUGUUGACUAACGGUGUUGCUUCUGACACUGUGACCUCUUCAAGCAGCCAUUCUCCCUGAAAAGCCAAUAGUCUCAAAUAGGCUUAUUUUCCCAGGACAUUUUCUUUGACCACUACAGCCAAACCAGAUUUAAUUUACUCCCCACCGACAAACCAGCUCUCCUUGCUUGGAGAAUGAGUGAACCACCUAGAAACUCACUUUCAUUGAAGCCUCAUUUUGCAGUUUUGGUCUUCGUUUAAAAAUAAAUCACAACGCUAUGUUGAGA